GGCGCGUUGGUUUAGUGGUAGAAUACCAGCUGUCCCAACUGGGGUUCUGGAGGCCGUGGUUCGAAUCCACGUCGCGUCU